rnacentral:rRNA from 1 species
GAUGAACGCUGGCGGCGUGCUUAACACAUGCAAGUCGAACGGGAUCCAUCAGGCUUUGCUUGGUGGUGAGAGUGGCGAACGGGUGAGUAAUGCGUGACCGACCUGCCCCAUACACCGGAAUAGCUCCUGGAAACGGGUGGUAAUGCCGGAUGCUCCAGUUGAUCGCAUGGUCUUCUGGGAAAGCUUUCGCGGUAUGGGAUGGGGUCGCGUCCUAUCAGCUUGACGGCGGGGUAACGGCCCACCGUGGCUUCGACGGGUAGCCGGCCUGAGAGGGCGACCGGCCACAUUGGGACUGAGAUACGGCCCAGACUCCUACGGGAGGCAGCAGUGGGGAAUAUUGCACAAUGGGCGCAAGCCUGAUGCAGCGACGCCGCGUGAGGGAUGGAGGCCUUCGGGUUGUAGACCUCUUUUAUCGGGGAGCAAGCGAGAGUGAGUUUACCCGUUGAAUAAG